GACAGAGGUGCCAAGCGUUAGGCGGAAUCACUGGGCUUAAAGCGUGUGUAGGCGGGCCGUUAAGUAUCUUGUGAAAUCCCCCGGCUCAACCGGGGAAUGGCUGGAUAUACUGGCGGUCUUGAGCAGUCUAGGGGCAGAUGGAACAGACGGUGGAGCGGUGAAAUGCGUAGAUAUCGGGAGGAACACCGGUGGCGAAGGCGGUUCUCUGGGCCUUACCUGACGCUGAGGAGCGAAAGCGUGGGGAGCGAACAGG
rnacentral:rRNA from 1 species